AUGCACGCUGGCGGCGUGCCUCAUCCCUGCAAGUCGCGCGAACGGACGAGAAGCUUGCUUCUCUGAUGUUAGCGGCGGACGGGUGAGUAACACGUGGAUAACCUACCUAUAAGACUGGGAUAACUUCGGGAAACCGGAGCUAAUACCGGAUAAUAUUUUGAACCGCAUGGUUCAAAAGUGAAAGACGGUCUUGCUGUCACUUAUAGAUGGAUCCGCGCUGCAUUAGCUAGUUGGUAAGGUAACGGCUUACCAAGGCAACGAUGCAUAGCCGACCUGAGAGGGUGAUCGGCCACACUGGAACUGAGACACGGUCCAGGCUCCUACGGGAGGCAGCAGUAGGGAAUCUUCCGCAAUGGGCGAAAGCCUGACGGAGCAACGCCGCGUGAGUGAUGAAGGUCUUCGGAUCGUAAAACUCUGUUAUUAGGGAAGAACAUAUGUGUAAGUAACUGUGCACAUCUUGACGGUACCUAAUCAGAAAGCCACGGCUAACUACGUG
rnacentral:rRNA from 1 species